rnacentral:rRNA from 1 species
UACGUAGGGCGCAAGCGUUGUCCGGAAUUAUUGGGCGUAAAGCGCGUGUAGGCGGCUUUUGCAAGUCGGGUGUGAAAGCCCUCAGCUCAACUGAGGAAGUGCGCCCGAAACUGCAGAGCUUGAGUGCCGGAGAGGGUGGCGGAAUUCCCCAAGUAGAGGUGAAAUUCGUAGAUAUGGGGAGGAACACCGGUGGCGAAGGCGCCACCUGGGACGGGUAACUGACGCUGAGACGCGAAAGCGUGGGGGAGCAAACAGG